CCCGGAAGAACCAGCCGCGGCUCGGAGAAUGAGCGGGUGGCCGUGGCUGCAGCUGCUGCGGCGGCACUGACAGGACACGAGCUCUAUGCCUUUCCGGCUGCUUAUCCCGCUCGGCCUCGUGUGCGUGCUGCUGCCCCUGCACCAUGGUGCGCCAGGCCCCGAAGGCACCGCGCCCGACCCCGCCCACUACAGGGAGCGAGUCAAGGCCAUGUUCUACCACGCCUACGACAGUUACCUGGAAAAUGCCUUUCCCUACGAUGAGCUGAGACCUCUCACCUGUGACGGGCACGACACCUGGGGCAGUUUUUCUCUGACACUGAUUGAUGCCCUGGACACCUUGCUGUGGUAGGAGGACUCCUUUCUGCUCACCUCUUGUCAAAGAAGGCUGGUGUGGAGGUGGAAGCUGGAUGGCCUUG
rnacentral:lncRNA from 1 species